GGCUCCAUAGUGUAGUGGUUAGCAUGUCUGCUUUACAUGCAGGAGGUCUUGCACCCCAGGUGGAGCCA
rnacentral:tRNA from 1 species